GGGCAAUGUGGUGUUAAGGUAUGCACCUUUGUUGCGCUCUACUACUUGAAGUCCAACUCCGAUUAUGGCUUUGGAUCUGUCCCGCAGAGGGUGAGAGGCCCGUUCAAGUAGUUGGAGUGCUGCUUAGAUGUGCAUGCCAUGGAGUCGGAUUGCUUGAGAAUGCAGUCCAAAGCGGGUGGUAAACUCCAUCCAAGGCUAAAUACUGGCACGAGUCCGAUAGUAAACAAGUACCGUGAGGGAAAGUUGAAAAGUACUCUGAAGAGAGAGUAAAUAGUACGUGAAGCCGCUUGCAGGGAAGCUGGUGGAGUCAAGCUUCAUGCCUGAAUGAUUGGUAACGAGAGUUGUUUGUAUAUUGCACUACUGGCUGGUGGAUCUGGAAACGUUCCGUCGGGUUCAUGCCUGGCUCGAGUGUUCCGGUGAGUGUACUUUGGCUGGCCACCUAGUGUUCUCUCUUACAUUCUAUCAUAAGGCAGCCACCACGGUUGAUGCACCAAUGGUGCAUGGGACUUGAACUGUGUCUAUAUGGAUCAUUGGUCUGUUGGAUGCAGCAUGGUAGAACGUGUCACAGCUUGGCUUGCUCAGGCUUUUGGCACUUAUCACGGCUUCGCCGACUGGGUCUCAUGCAGUGUGUUUUUUUACUAUUUGGUGCAUCAUGCAACUUCGUGCUGUCUCCAUAUUCAUUGGUGGCAGUAUGUGAGAGCCGUGGUGUUGAAGUAGACCUUCCACCCGACCCGUCUUGAAACACGGACCAAGGAGUUUAACAUGAGCGCAAGUCAAUGGGAGUGUACGAAACCCAGAGGCGUAAUGAAAGUGAAAGGAAGCCUUGUCGCCUCCUUAGGUGUGAUCCUGUCUGACCUUUACAAGGGCUGAUUGGCGCAACACCGGCCCGUCUCAAUUUGUAGUCACUUGAACCAAGGUCUGAGUGCGUCAAAGAGGCGGUGCAAGAGCGUUCAUGUUGAGACCCGAAAGAUGGUGAACUAUGCUUGCGUAGGUCGAAGCCAGAGGAAACUCUGGUGGAGGACCGUCGCGGUUUUGACGUGCAAAUCGAUCGUCAAACGUGAGCAUAGGGGCGAAAGACUAAUCGAACCAUCUAGUAGCUGGUUCCCUCCGAAGUUUCCCUCAGGAUAGCUGGCAAUCGUUUCGCUCAACAGUUUUAUCCGAUAAAGCGAAUGAUUAGAGGUAUUGGGGACUAAUUGUCCUCAACCUAUUCUCAAACUAUAAAUGGGUACGAUGCUGGACUCGCUUAAUUGGAGUCUAGCAUUGAAUGUGAUUGCCAAGUGGGCCAUUUUUGGUAAGCAGAACGGCGCUGUGGGAUGCUCCGAACGUGCAGUUAAGGUGCCCAAUGCAGACGCUCAUGAGACACCAAAAAAGGUGUUAAUGCAUA
rnacentral:rRNA from 1 species